CUAUAACAUUAAUACAGUAUAAAGUCGUAAGAACUGUGUGCCAAAUACAAAUAAGAAAAUACCAAAUUAAUUAAAGUAAAAAAAUCUGAAUCCUUACUAAACUACCAUUAUUCUGUUCCUACUAUAUUUUUUUUGUUGGAUAUAGAAACGAUAUAUACGGUCACAUACACUUUAUUUUAAUAAUCACCAGUCAAAAAUAAACCCUUCGCAAACAGAUUGUUUCUUUUUUUUAAGUGAAAAUCUCGUUCAUGUCGGGUAUUUCUGGUGGCUUUUCAUCCCCAGGAUGUAUGCGAGAUGACUCUUUACAUAGUUUAUAAACUGUGUAAAAUAAUUCCACAACUCCGAACAGUAUGUCAAUGAAUGUUACCAGAGAAAUAAUCCAUGCAGUUAAAUUUACAUUUCCAUGCGGUAUGGCAAAAAAAGGAAGUGCAACUUCGAAAUCGUUAUACAAUACAGCAGUAUAUGCAACAAACAAGCUAUCGAUCAGUAUUUCCAUAACUUUAAACAAGCAAACCAUUUCCAUUAACUUCUUAUGGGGGACUGCUGGCUGGUCUUUAUCAUUUCUGUAAACAUAAUGCAUAAAAUACCAAAUUGCAAUAGCCACAAAGAUGGACAUACUUCCAAUAACACUGUACCUCAUCGCUUGUUCUGGCGCGCUUCUAGCAUUUAUAUCGCUUAUUCUAGUAGUGUUCUGCUCUGUUGCUGAUAUUUCGAGAAAGAUGAGUUCAGUUAAGCUAAUUCCAAAUUGAACAAAGAUUCGAAGAAAAUACAGUUUAGCAACAUUUUUAAAAGUCUCACAACCUCCAAAGACGAAGCGAAAAAGGUAAAGAAGAAUAUCUGGAAGUAUUUCCUCCAUUUCUGAAUAAUUGAAUUAUGUUAUUGUCUUGAUUUAUUCGAGAACUUUUAUAUAACAUGCAUGCAGGUGCCCUCCGUGUGGAAAACCACG
rnacentral:lncRNA from 1 species